AUGAUGAAAGAGCCUGAUAGAGAAACACUUGUGUAUGCUCUCCUUGAUACGCAAAGUGACACAACCUUCAUUCUUGAGGAGGCAGCAGAUUCUCUAAAUGCAAAGGGGGAACAGGUCAAGCUAAAGUUAUCUACUAUGGCCUCUACAAACAAAGUUGUAGCUUGUCAAAGGAUCUCUGGGUUGCAAGUUAGAGGAUUCAGCUCAGAGAAGAAAAUAACUCUUCCUACAACCUACACAAGAAAGUUCAUUCCGGCGAACAGAGACCACAUACCCACACCAGAGACAGCAAUGGCAUGGCCCCAUCUUGAGCAGAUUGCAGAUAAGAUUGCUCCUCGUCAAGGGUGUGAUGUUGGUCUACUAAUUGGCUACAACUGUUCUCAGGCACUCCUUCCUAGAGAAGUGGUGUGCGGUGAAGAAAAUCAACCAUUUGCACAGAGAACAGACUUGGGAUGGAGCAUUAUUGGACAUGGCAACCCAUACGUAGACUGUGGAGACGCUAUUGGAGUGAGUCAUCAAGUCAUCAUAAGGCAAGUGACACCGGAUCUUCAGCUUCCAUCGAGUCCCAAACAGGAAGUUCACUAUGUAUGCAGAACACAGAUCAAGGAAGUCAUCUCAUCUGACAUAAUUAAGGCGCUUGAAUGUGACUUUAAUGAGAAAGUUGCUGAGGACAAUCACUUCUCUCAAGAUGACCUCCAGUUUUUGUCGAAAUUGAAACAAGGAAUCAAACACAAGGAAGAUGGUCACAUUGAGAUGCCUCUUCCAUUUAAAAGAGAAAGGCCGAGCUUGCCAGACAAUAGGGUGUGUGCUAUCCAUCGCCUUAAGCACCUAGAAAGGAAAUUAAGGAGAAACAGCGGAUAUUACCGGGACUACAAACACUUCAUGGAAGAGACCAUAGCACGUGGAAAUGCUGAGAAGAUCCCCAAAGCUGAUCUCCACAAUCACCCAGUGUGGUACAUUCCACAUCAUGGUGUUUAUCACCCGCAAAAGCCUGGGAAAAUCCGCGUUGUUUUUGACUGUUCAGCCCGGUUUCAGGGGACAUCUUUAAAUGAUCAUCUGUUGACUGGUCCAGAGCUGACAAAUUCCCUUGUUGGUGUCUUGUGUCGGUUUCGCAAGGAAAAAAUUGCAAUCAUGUGCGACAUAGAACGUAUGUUCCACCAAUUUCACGUGAGGGCAGAAGACCAAGAUUACCUUCGCUUUCUCUGGUGGGAGAAUGGAGAUUUGGAAGCACAGCCAGCAGUCUAUCGCAUGAGAGUCCAUUUGUUUGGAGCUGCCUCAUCUCCAGGCUGUGCUAAUUAUGGUCUCAAACAUCUUGCUGCAGUGGCAAGGGGGAAUUUCAGCGAAGCAUCCGUCCGCUUCGUAGAAAGAAACUUUUAUGUUGAUGACGGUUUGACUAGUGUAUCCACCGAAGCAAAGGGAAUCCAGCUAGUGAAUGAAGCAAGGGAGCUUUGCAACACUGGCAACUUAACGUUGCAUAAGUUCAUUUCCAACAGUAAGCACGUGUUGUCAUCAAUCCCAAAGGAAGAGUGUGCUGGAGGAGCCAACAACUUGGAUAUGGCUCUUCAUGAACCACACAUGGAGAGAGCCCUUGGUGUGCAAUGGUGUGUCACAUCAGAUGAUUUCCAGUUUAGAGUGGUGGUGAAAGAAAAACCCAUGAGCAGAAGAGGGGUAUUGUCCACCGUGGCCUCAGUGUUUGAUCCGCUUGGCUUUGUCGCACCUUUCAUCCUUUUAGGAAAGAAAAUCCUCCAGCAAAUGUGUCAUGAGAGAGUUAGUUGGGAUGAUCCUCUUCCAGAUCAUCUGCUGCCCCAGUGGGAAUCCUGGUUGAGAGGACUGCAAGAUCUAGCAACCAUAAAGGUACAACGAUGCUACCUACCAGGAAGCUUUGGCAAAGUUGUGAAAUACGAGCUGCAUCAUUUUUCGGAUGCCAGUGCCUCAGGUUAUGGAGAGUGCUCAUACCUGAGAGCAAUAAGCGCAUCGGGAGAAGUGCACUGUUCCCUCGUGAUGGGGAAAGCAAGGGUAGCUCCUUUAAAGGUAACAACUAUACCAAGGCUUGAGCUCUCUGCAGCAGUGGUGGCAGUGCGCACAAGUGACAUGCUCCAGAAAGAGCUUGAAAUGGAAGGCCUGCAGGAAUACUUUUGGACUGAUUCAAGGGUUGUCCUUGGCUACAUCAACAAUGAUGCAAGGAGGUUUCAUGUUUUUGUAGCAAACCGUGUCCAACGUAUCAAGCAGAGCACACAUCCUGACCAAUGGAACUACGUUGCUUCAGAAGACAAUCCCGCUGAUCACUCUUCUAGGGGACAGACAGCAGAACAGCUCAAGGCAUCUAACUGGUUUAGAGGUCCAAAUUUUCUGUGGCAGCUAAACCUCCCAAGUAGUGUGUUCACGGUGGGAGAAAUAUCAGAAGAUGACCCAGAGUUACGAAAGACUCAUGUUCACAAAAUUCACUCAAGGGAAGAGAGGUCACUGCUAGAUCGUCUGGCAAGGUUUUCAGAUUGGACAAGAGCAGUACAAGCUGUAGCCAUACUGAAACGCAGAGCAAGGGCAGCUAAAGGCCACAAACCAAGGUUUAGUGAACCCACCACUUUGGAGGAGCGUAAGGAGGCAGAGGUUUUUCUCAUCAAACUGGUUCAAGCAACACACCUUGCUGAAACCAUGAAGAGUCUCAAGCUUAAUGGGCAAAUCAAGGCAAUUGAGAAGGCAAAUAAAUUGCACAAAUUAAACCCAUUCCUUGAUGAGCACGGUGUACUCAGGGUUGGUGGGCGCUUAACAAUGUCCAGUCUUCACCCCCAUGUGAAACACCCAGCUAUCCUUCCUAAAGAAAGCCAUUUGUCAGCACUGCUCAUCAAGCAUCAUCAUGAAAAGGUGCAGCACCAAGGUCGAGGUAUGACUGUUAACGAGCUGCGAGCCAAUGGUGUUUGGAUUCUUGGAUGCAGUAAGGCAGUCUCCUCUCAUAUUUACAACUGCACAAAAUGCAGGAAGUUUAGACGGAACACUGAAGGACAAAGGAUGGCAAACCUCCCACAAGAACGCACGGAGUUGACGCCACCCUUCACAUAUUGUGGGAUGGACUGCUUUGGGCCUAUCUAUGUCAAGGAUGGCAGAAAGGAGCUUAAGCGUUAUGGGCUUUUACUCACAUGCAUGUGCUCAAGAGCCAUACAUAUUGAGAUGCUUGAUGACUUAACAACUGAUGCAUUCAUCAAUGCCUUGCGUUCGUUUAUUGCAUUGCGUGGAAGUGUCAGGCAAAUUCGAUGUGAUCAAGGCAGCAACUUCAUUGGUGCAAGGCACGAGUUCGCUGAAGCCAUGAAAGAGAUGGAUGGAGAGAACCUCAAGAAAAUUGGAUGUGAGUUUGUUAUGAACACACCCUCUGCAAGUCAUCAAGGUGGGGUUUGGGAACGCCAAAUACGCACUGUGCGUAAUGUUUUGGCAUCCGUUCUCGACCAAUCAGCUAAAAGGCUUGACAGCAGUUCGUUAAGAACCUUCCUCUACGAAGUUAUGGCAAUUGUGAAUAGCAGGCCAUUAACAACAGAGCAUUUGCAUAAUCCAUCUGGUCCAGAACCCCUGACACCUAACCACAUCCUGACAAUGAAGUCAAGCAUUAUUCCCCCACCUCCUGGAAAGUUUAUCAAGGAAGAUCUGUACCUGCAAAAGCGAUGGCGCAGAGUACAGUUCUUAGCCAACAGCUUCUGGGAACGGUGGAAAAGGGAAUAUCUGUUGAAUCUUCAGAGCAGACAAAAAUGGAACAGAGCAAGACGAAAUGCGAAAGUCAAUGAUAUUGUGCUUCUCAAGGAUGAUUCUGCUCCACGUAGUCAAUGGAAGAUGGGAAGGAUCAUAGAUGUCUAUCUGGGACAGGAUGGAAAGGUGAGAAGUGUGAAGUUGUUGAUCAGUGACUCAACUCUAGAUGCUAGAGGAAAGCGCACCACAAAACCAACCUACCUGGAGAGACCUAUUCAAAAGACUGUAACUCUACUGGAGGCUAACUGA
ensembl:lncRNA